CUGGGCCUGCCCACUCCCUUCACCCUGCCGCCCCCAGGUCACCCACUUGGCCGGCCUUUUGCCUGCCAGGGCGUGGGCCUGGCAGAGACUUCAGAGCCUGUCUUACCUCUCAGGCUGUUUACCAGGCCUAGCGAAGUCCACCCCGGUCCUCCCUGGCCUGCCUCCACUACUGCAGCACCCUCAGAGCUGCCCCUGGGGCAAGUGGCAGCUCCCCGCUGCCCAGCACGCUGUUGACAUGGCUUCCUCAUCUGCCGAGACCUCUUCCAGAACACACUGCCAGCCACAAACCCGCUGCCCUCCCAGGCUCUGUCCCCACUGAGGUGCCCACCCCCAGUCUGUCCCCAGAGGAGCGCCAGGAAUCCCAAGCAGCGCUGCUGGGUGUGGAGAGAGGCGGGCUGCUGUCUCUCGGGGACACAGAGAAUUCCAGGCCUGAGCACAGCAUGUCUGUGUCUGGGUCACAUGGCAGCAGAAGGCUUCAGGCCCAGCCCCAGCCCCAGCUUCAUAUCAGUCCAGGGACCCUUGUCAGGAGCACCCUUGGGAACCGCAGGAGAAAACAGCCAGGACUUUGUGUGCGGUGACGCACUGACAUUUCUGGGCAUGGCAGAGACAAUGCCGCCUCCCUUCCAGAGCCUGUGGCCUGAGUGUAUCUCCUUAGAGGUGCUACCUGGUGCUUUUCUGACCAGCUGCGUUGGGCCCAAGAACUCCCUCCUGGUCCACUUGUUCAGAAGAUAAAAAUUGGUGUGUACCUCACUGGAGACCCCGGUUAAACAGAACCGAUUUCCCCUGGGAUAUUAAGAGUCACAGGUCUGUGACAACCCAUCGCUUUUGCUGUCUGUCACAACUGUUAAGUCUGACCGUGAACAGUUCACACAGGGAAGCAGAGUGUCAUAGGAAGCCACUGAACAGGAGUCAAGGGGCCUGGUCCUCACGCCAAAUUUGUCUCUACUCUAGUUGUAAGACACACUUGAAUCCUUUCUUGACUCAACCCCCUGAGCCUCAAUUUUCUAAAGCAACCGUGCUGUUUCAAAAAGUCAUUAAAGAGCCAUAACAAAGGGGGAUAAUACAGGCAGCCCCCGAAGGGUUAGUAAGCAACGUCUGUUAGUGAAGCAUGUGUGGAGGGGACAUUCGCAAAAUGAAUGCUGCAAACUCAGUAUAUCAGCUACACACAGUUCCCUGCUCAUACUAUAUAUUUCCAGGGGCCUGAUAUCUAAGUAAGAUCAGAAUAUAUGAACUUACUGCUCCCACUGCAAUGCUGAUAGAACUGAUCAUGUGUUCAACAACUGAGGUUGGAGACCAGAGCUAAGAAGAUAACUUAAGAGGACAGCCAACAUCUUGGCUCAGGCGCUCCCUGGUGAACAAGGACCAGGACAUGAAGAGACCUUUUCUACAGGAUCUCACAACCUUGCCGCCACCGGUCCCCCACAGUUCUAUCACAAUCCUUGUCUCCAACUGAAAUCUCCUGAACUUGAUCUUUACUGGCUGCAUUUUAUCAGCAUUCUGAGCUCUGACCAGAAUCUCCCACCAAGAUUGACUCACAGUAUUUUUAGGAUUGCUUCUUCAGUUGACAUCUCCAAGUCUUUCUAGACUUCUGAACCAUAGUGAGGUAGUCACUGCAAUGACCUCACUUCUCUAGUACCAAAAUCGGUAUCAAGGUUGUUUAGAGGAACAGAUGUAAUAUGAAAUAUAUGACAUAUAAAGUAUUUACAAGGUAAGCUUACAUGACCCCCUGCAGAGUUAGGUGCAGAAAAAGGACUGUCUGAGUGCUGGAGAGCCAGAGGAUCCAGUCUAAGGUCAAAAAACCAGGAGUUCACUGCAGAGUCCCAAGAGUCCAUAUCUGAAAGUUCAAGGGCCUGUGCCAGAAGUCUAGAAACUGACCUUCAAAGGUGACGGUGACGACUGAAGCUCCUCCUCUGCAGCAGAAGCCAGACUUUCUUCUUUCCUUUUUACUCCAUCCAAGACACAAGCCUAUUGGUUGGUGCUACCCACACCCAUGGUGACUCUUCCUUCUUCAGUAAAUCCAUCAUCCAGACAUACCCAGGACUGUGCCGAAGCAGUCAGCUAGGACUUUCUUAUUCAAGGUGACAACACAAUUAACUCUCACACCAUCAAAGCAUGACAAAAUGUCAGCCAAAAUUCAGGAGCAUUCUUCACAUAACAGACAAAUACUCUUGAAAAUAGUCAAGGUCACCAAAAACAAAGAAAAACUAGGAAUCAUCAGAGCAAGAAGACUGGGGACAUCCAAGGUCCCCGUGCAGUAUGUUGGCCUGGACUGGAUCCCAGAAUAGAAAAGGACGUGGAUAGGGAAGCUAGUGAAAUCCAAAUAAGCUCUGGCGUGCAGUUGACAGCAAUGUAUCACACUAAUUUCUUAGUUUUGACAAAUCCUCCAUAACUAAUGGCCACGUGAGACAGUAACAUCCAGGGAAACUGGGUAAAGGUCUAAGGGAACUCUGCAUUGUCUUUGAAAGGUUCUACAAACCUAAAACUAUUGUAAAGUAAGAAGCUUAAGAAAAGCAUUUCGUCUUAAUUGAAAAAGGAAUACACGUUCAUUGCACAAAGUUUGUAAAAUUCACACAUGAAAAUCUAGCAAAUGCUUACCAUUUGCUCUGUUAACAUUCUGGUAGAUUUCAAUGCAACCUUGCUUCCUGGGCACUUUUGACACAACUGGAAACAGAUUUUAACACCAUUUCCUACCCUCUGUUUCUAGCCUUCUAAACACGCUUCUUCAGCAUUCAAACAUUUAGUAAACAUCAUUUUUAAAGUACCAGAUAGUCCAUGGCUUAAUUGUGUUGCUGUUGGACGUAACUUACAAUGGCUUCUUGAUAAAACUAACAAAUACA